rnacentral:rRNA from 1 species
CCCGGGUCUUGUACACACCGCCCGUCACACCAUGGGAGCGGGAUGUACCAGAAGUAGGUAGGCUAACCGCAAGGGGGCCGCUUACCACGGUGUGUUUCGUGACUGGGGUG